AGGAUAAUAGUUAACUAUAAUAUUUAUUUUGCAAUUAAAAGGUAUUGAAUUCCAAUUUAUCUUA
rnacentral:tRNA from 1 species